UUUUUAGCAUGAGUAUGUCCCAUUUAACAUUUGGGAUGUACUUAUGCUAAAU
rnacentral:pre_miRNA from 1 species